GGAUGGACUCUGACGCUGGGGAAAGGCACAGAUGCGUUUGGUCUCUCACGACACAGCUCACGGCAGUGAAUGAGGACAGCAAGCAGGGCUCGGCUUGGCCAGUGGGAAGGUUUCAGGGUCCUGGGGCCCAGGGGCUGCCUGGUUGCCCAGCACCUGCCCUGAGUGAGGAGGCUUUGCUGUCAUGAAGAGGGCGGCUCUCAUGGGUUCCUGCGCAUGACAACAGCCCUGGGGGCUUCCUCGAAGUGCGAGUCCCCGAGCUGCCUCCCGAGACCCUCCUCCCUGGUCCUGUGUCGCUGGAAGGCUG